CUGGUAUCUAACUGGUAUCUGUGUGAGAACUAGUAUCUAACUGGUAUCUGUGUGAGGAGGGGAGAGACUGGUGUGAGGACUAGUAUCUAACUGGUACCUAUGUGAGGACUGGAGAGACUGGUGUGAGGACUGGUAUCUAACUGGUAUCUGUGUGAGAACUAGUAUCUAACUGGUAUCUGUGUGAGGAGGGGAGAGACUGGUGUGAGGACUAGUAUCUAACUGGUACCUAUGUGAGGAGAGGAGAGACUGGUGUGAGGACUAGUAUCUAACUGGUAUCUGUGUGAGGACUGGUAUCUAACUGGUAACUGUGUGAGGACUAGUAUCUAACUGGUAUCUGUGUGAGGAAUAGUAUCUAACUGGUAUCUGUGUGAGGACUGGUAUCUGUGAGAGGAGAGACUGGUGUGAGGACUAGUAUCUAACUGGUAUCUGUGUGAGGACUGGUAUCUAACUGGUACCUGUGUGAGGACUAGUAUCUAACUGGUAUCUGUGUGAGGAGAGGAGAGACUGGUGUGAGGACUAGUAUCUAACUGGUAUCUGUGUGAGGACUGGUAUCUAACUGGUAUCUGUGUGAGGACUGGAGAGACUGGUGUGAGGACUGGUAUCUGUGAGAGGAGAGACUGGUGUGAGGACUUUCCAUUUCAAAUACGGACCAUAUCUUAUAUUUGUUUGUUUUAAUAACCUUUCACCUCUAGUUUGUUGGUUUGUUUGUGUUGUUGUUCAUCUGCUGCUGACUAUUUACAAUAUGGGAUUCUGGUACUGUUUCAUUUUACAACCCGGUUUACAAUAUUCAGGUCACUCCAGAAGCGGAAUUUUGCAACCCUUAGAUGGUACUUGAUUGGUUCAAUGAAUCUCAACGAAACCGAAGUGUUAUAUGCAAUUAUCACGUAAUUACCGUUUUAAUUUGUAAGUAACUACACUUCCUGCUAAACAGUGGGUUGUAAAAAUGAAGCAUUACUGAGAUUCUUUGUUUCUCCGUUUUGAUACACCUGGAAAUGUACAUGCAAUGAUUAUGAAUUUGAUUUGACUUGUUGUUUUGUUCUCAUGUAUUACGUGCCUUUCUGUAUGUGACAAUUCUGUUUAAAUUAAACAAACAUUUUUAAUCUAACAAA
ensembl:lncRNA